GGACUUAUUCACUUAUUCACACACACGUACGUCACACAAUUACCACAAUAAUCUAAAUCCCAGAUAUUUAAAGUGAACUUAUCUCCUUCAUUAUAAAGCUAACUGCAUGACUCACUAUCUCCAUUACACCUUCUGACACAGUGACUAUAAUCAUCUGGUAUUUGCUUAACCGAUACUGACUAAUCAAAUGCUGUCAGGGAAAGGUAAACUUACAACUGAGUGCUACACAGGAAAUGGCUCAUAUCAUAACUGAGUAUCUUGACACAUCAAUCCUUAGGAGUUUGCAGUUGAGGGAUGAGGUUGAGGAAUAAUGGUGAGGAUAUAUGUGAGAGAGAGAGAGAGAGAGAGAGAGAGAGAGAGAGAGAGAGAGAGAGAGAGAGAGAGAGAGAGAGAGAGAGAGAGAGAGAGAGAGAGAGAGAGAGAGAGAGAGAGAGAGAGAGAGAGAGAGAGAGAGAGAGAGAGAUUGUUAUGCGUCAUGAGAGGAUUUUAUUUUAUUUUAUACAUAUCGAUUCUUUUAUUCUGUGUUUAUUUCUCUGUGAAUUUUUACAUGUUUUAAAAAGUUUACUACCUGCGUCAUUCUCACUUUUAUACACAUUUGUAAGGAAUUAAGGAAUAAAGUUAUCAUGAGGUCUACUGUCAUGGAUGAU